UACGUAGGGUGCGAGCGUUAAUCGGAAUUACUGGGCGUAAAGCGUGCGCAGGCGGUUAUGUAAGACAGUUGUGAAAUCCCCGGGCUCAACCUGGGAACUGCAUCUGUGACUGCAUCGCUGGAGUGCGGCAGAGGGGGAUGGAAUUCCGCGUGUAGCAGUGAAAUGCGUAGAUAUGCGGAGGAACACCGAUGGCGAAGGCAAUCCCCUGGGCCUGCACUGACGCUCAUGCACGAAAGCGUGGGGAGCAAACAGG
rnacentral:rRNA from 1 species